GACAGAGGGUGCAAACGUUGUUCGGAAUUACUGGGCGUAAAGCGCGUGUAGGCGGCCCUGCAAGUCGGGUGUGAAAUCCCACGGCUCAACCGUGGAAGUGCACUCGAAACUGCAGGGCUAGAGUCCUGGAGAGGAAGGUGGAAUGCUUGGUGUAGAGGUGAAAUUCGUAGAUAUCAAGCGGAACACCGGUGGCGAAGGCGGCGUUCUGGACUGCAACUGACACUGAGGAGCGAAAGCCAGGGGAGCAAACGGG
rnacentral:rRNA from 1 species